rnacentral:rRNA from 1 species
UGGCCAAGUUUUUAAGGGCGCACGGUAGAUGCCUUGGCACCAGGAACCGAUGAAGGACGUGGGAGGCCGCGAUAGUCCCCGGGGAGUCGUCAACCAGGCUUUGAUCCGGGGGUUUCCGAAUGGGGAAACCCGG